AGGAUCUCCAGCCAACACGUUCGGCGGUCUUCGACAAGGCGUUCAAAUAGCCAAAUGCUGGUGCGGGACUGCGGGACAGUACUGCAGGAGUGGAGCACAGGCGAGCGAGAACGAGAGCGCGCCCGGAGCUGUGCCACUGGCCACUAGGCUGGCUCCAAUAUGAAUGAUCAGGAAGUAGGCCUUGCUCAAGCCAUCCAGGCAACCACACUGAACAACAAUGAUCCUGAUCCUCCAGCAACCGCUUCUCCAGGGGGAAUGGUUGCAUCUUCCGUCCCAAGGAAAUCUAUUGUGGGUCGGGUGCAUGAGAAGAUGGGAACGUUUAGCCUACCUAAAGGAGAGGAUACAAAGCAGCGGGAAAGAAGGAGGACGCGGUCGCUCAAUCCUCCGAGCCACGUGGAGCAGUUUGGCCCCUGCGGGGGGAUCCUCAAGAACUCCGGCAUGGUCAUGACGGUCCAGGACCCCGCGUCUCAGCGGCUCAAGUGGCACAAGAAGCCCCUGACGGUGCUGGUGAUCAAGAAGGUGCGCGACCGCACCGUCAUGCAGCCCUUCGUGCGCCUCACCAACUGGCUGGUCGUGGAGAAGUGCAUGCUGGUGUACGUGGAGCAGGGCGUGCUGGAGGACCCCGCGCUGGUCGAGGACCCCGACUUCAAGGACGUGAUGAAGUCGCUGAAGACGUUCCGCGACGGCAAGGACGACCUGACGGACAAGAUCGACUUCAUCAUCUGCCUGGGCGGCGACGGCACACUGCUGUACGCCAGCCUGCUGUUCCAGCGGUCCGUGCCGCCCGUCAUGGCCUUCCACCUCGGCUCGCUGGGCUUCCUCACGCCCUUCCAGUUCGACGACUUCCAGCCCCAGAUCACCAAGGUCCUCGAAGACAACGCGGCGCUGACGCUCCGCAGCCGGCUGGAGUGCAUCAUCGAGCGCGGCGACGCCGAGGACGCCGACGGCGACAGCAUGCUCACCAAGACGUCGACGCGCGGGCUGCGCGGCAGGACGUCGUCGGGCAUGCCCACCAGCCUGCUGGUGCUCAACGAGGUCGUCAUUGACCGCGGGCCGUCGCCCUACCUGUCCAACAUCGACCUGUACCUGGACGGCAAGCUCAUCACCUCCGUGCAGGGCGACGGUCUGAUCGUGUCCACACCCACGGGCAGCACCGCCUACGCCGUGGCGGCCGGCGCCUCCAUGAUCCACCCCAGCGUGCCCGCCAUCAUGGUCACCCCCAUCUGCCCCCACUCGCUGUCCUUCAGGCCCAUCGUGGUGCCCGCCGGCGUGGAACUCAAGAUCUGCAUAUCACCCGACAGCCGGAACACCGCCUGGGUGUCCUUGGACGGCAGAAAUCGGCAGGAACUGUUACACGGGGACAGAUUGCGCUCAACUGUGACGCCAGGCAUACUGCCCACGUGUCCUUCGAUGGCCACUGCCCUCAGGAAUUGCGCAUGGGGGAUAGCCUCCGAGUCACAACAUCUAAAUACCCAGUCCCAUCAAUUUGCGCCGCUGAUCAAAUAACGGACUGGUUUGAUUCCCUGGCCGAGUGCUUGCACUGGAACGUUCGGAAACGCCAGAAGCACCUGGAUGAAUUAAGUGAUCUCACACAUUCCAGUUCAAAUGAUACCUUGGAUUCUUUGGACAGCUAGCGACAGAUACCAGGGCCUCAGCACCAGGUGCAAUCAGGGACUGACCUUGGAGUCCUUGACGCUGUGCAAGCUUUGCAUCGUUGUUGUGCCCUGUUUAGUUUGGGAGUCAGUAAAGUUUGAAUGGCUCUAAUGAUAUCUCAGCUUUCAAAGGAUUACAAGUAGUGACCAAAGGGUAGUGGGACUGUCUGUGUUAAACAGGUGCUUGUUGAUUUCUAAUUCUUUAGAUCGGCUCUGCCUCUGCAACAGUUGUUUGCAGAUUAGCCCAAAGGUUUUUAUUAACUCUCUUAAGAUGUUAUUUUUCAUUAGGCUGUUACAAGGCUUGUUGUCUGCAAUGUACAAAUUUUGUUGUUAUUGACUAUUUAAAGAGAAAUGUUGUGUUUGUUUUGUCAGUGUGUUCUGAGAGUAAAUGUGAUGAAUCCAAAAAUGGUGAUAUGUUGGAUCAUGUUAGAUUUAAGCAUGAAGUAUCAGUGUACUGGUCAUGACACCUGUGCUGUGUUGUAUACGAUUGAUGUGUCUACUGGUGCCAUCCUCUUAUUCCUUGAUGGGCGCAGCAUUUCAUCUCAUGACAUCAUUCAUAGUGAAUCUUAUUCUAAUUUGCUUCAUAAUUAUACCAUUCAUCGUUUCUUCUUUUCCUGUUUUUCCAUUAUCAUUGUUAUUUUAAUAGAUUGUGGUGUUAAAAGUAUAAUAAUGUGUUAUUUAAUAAAAUGAAAUGUGUCAUGUGUAUCACUUUUAAGUUAGUUGAGCGUCACAAAGAGAAGGGUUUCUGUGUGGCUAUUUAUUUGUCAGCUCACUCAAAAAAUUUUGUGUGUGACAUGCGUUUUUAUAAAUGUUUUUGAAUUUUCUUUUGGAGAUUGGAGGCAUGCUACUGGUCUCUAACUGAUAUUUCUCCACUCACCGAAUCAAUGAAUUCUGCCUUCAAGUUUUAUCAAUGCACAAACUAGUUUAUAAUGAUCAUGAGUAUUUUUAAUUGUCUUUGGGUGUUAUAGAAAAACUUACUUAAAAUUUGUGUAGCAAUUUGACAAUCAUAGAGUGAGAAAAAUCCUUUCCUAACUUUGAACACUGGAACAACUUGUGUUUCAUACUUAUUAUUUCAUCGAUGGGUACAAAGUUUGACAUUUUCAGGAAUAGAAAUGAUUUGUAUGUACUAGUGUCCCCUCCCCGCCUUUUAUUUGGAGAUUAUUUCAAUGCAAGAAGGACUGUCUUUAUAAGUCUCACUUAGUCCAUUCCAGUUCCUAAUAACUGAUUUGUGAAACAAAACACACUAACAUAGAAAAUGCUGAAUUUCUUAGAAUAAGAAGACUUUUUUGCGUAUUUUCAUGAACAUGAACUUUCUUGACUGAUUUUCUCAUGCAUUCUAUUGUACCUUCCCUUUUUUUUUAGCAAUUUUUUCUAGGUGUUAGUUUAACUUUUAGAAGUGCCUAUGAACAAAUAGAGUUUGAUAUGCUUCAAAAUAUGCUCGGGGCUUACAGUAUGGUCCUAAGAUACUUUGAUGUGAAAAUGUAGUUUUUUGUUUUUAAAUCAAUGCACUUGAUCAUUCAUAUAUAUGUUCCUUCAAAACUAAUAACAUUGUUGAUUACUAACAUCAAAUAACACUUCAAUAUCAUUGUAGACUUUAUGAUAAGAAAGUUAGUGAGACAUUUUGACUACCCCUAUCGCAACUCCUGAGACCCAAUGGAACCAAGUCUUUGUAUGUGUUUCUAUUGCAAAACUUUCAUGUGAUAAAUCAAAGCUGUGUCACCUGAUCCUUUACAAUACCAGCCUUUUAGCUUAUUUUUCAAACUGGAAAAAAUAAGCUGGUUGAAAGGCAUCAUGACUGAGGUUUUGUGGGUACCAAUAUUCUUUGCUUUUUUUUUGCUUAUUGUGUAGGAGAAUCUGAACUUUAACCAAUGAGAAAUUCCUAAGUGCCAACACUUCAUGCACUUCAAUACCAAACUAUUCUUGUUGCCGUGAAAAAUAUGCUCAAUUGUUACUUGUGCUUUUAUUUUUUUAGAGUCGUAUCAUAUGUAAUAAUUGGAAACAUUCCUCUCUCCUUGCGUAGGAUCACUAUAAGAGCCUUGAAAUGAACCUGUUGACCAAGUAUACGGUCUAAAUUGACUUUCUGCAUUUCUACAUACUAUUUCUUAAACUUGAGUACUUCAUACUUUGUAAUCUCUAUUUUGAUAGAAAAAAUUCAGUUCGUUUGGUUUGUAACUCAUUGCUUUUGAUUGUGUCUUUGUCUAAAGAUUUCCUAGGUUUGAUGACAAUAAUGGACACCUUGGUUCUAGUUUGGGUAAACUCUCAGAAGAUAAUCAAGGUCAUGGAUAGCUACAGUUUACCUAGGGGAAAUAAGGCUUGUUUUCAAAUUCUUAUUCGUCCUUCAUGUGUGUGUGGACCAGGUGUUUUUUUUUUUUUUUUUUUUUUUUGUUAAAGUUGAGGCAAAUUCUUUUAUACAAUUAUAACUUGUUACUUUGUAAUUUCUUACUUGUUGUCUCUCUGUUUUAUUUUAUUGAUGGAAGUAUCAAUUUUCUUGGCCACCUCUGUUAACUUACUUUUAAGCGUUUUAUACAAAUGACAAAAAAUAUACAUAACGGUA